rnacentral:rRNA from 1 species
CUAGCUACAGGCUUAACACAUGCAAGUCGAGGGGCAUCAGGAAGAAAGCUUGCUUUCUUUGCUGGCGACCGGCGCACGGGUGAGUAACACGUAUCCAACCUGCCCUUUACUCGGGGAUAGCCUUUCGAAAGAAAGAUUAAUACCCGAUGGCAUAAUGAUUCCGCAUGGUUUCAUUAUUAAAGGAUUCCGGUAAAGGAUGGGGAUGCGUUCCAUUAGGUUGUUGGUGAGGUAACGGCUCACCAAGCCUUCGAUGGAUAGGGGUUCUGAGAGGAAGGUCCCCCACAUUGGAACUGAGACACGGUCCAAACUCCUACGGGAGGCAGCAGUGAGGAAUAUUGGUCAAUGGGCGCUAGCCUGAACCAGCCAAGUAGCGUGAAGGAUGAAGGCUCUAUGGGUCGUAAACUUCUUUUAUAUAAGAAUAAAGUGCAGUAUGUAUACUGUUUUGUAUGUAUUAUAUGAAUAAGGAUCGGCUAACUCCGUGCCAGCAGCCGCGGUAAUACGGAGGAUCCGAGCGUUAUCCGGAUUUAUUGGGUUUAAAGGGAGCGUAGGUGGACUGGUAAGUCAGUUGUGAAAGUUUGCGGCUCAACCGUAAAAUUGCAGUUGAUACUGUCAGUCUUGAGUACAGUAGAGGUGGGCGGAAUUCGUGGUGUAGCGGUGAAAUGCUUAGAUAUCACGAAGAACUCCGAUUGCGAAGGCAGCUCACUGGACUGCAACUGACACUGAUGCUCGAAAGUGUGGGUAUCAAACAGGAUUAGAUACCCUGGUAGUCCACACAGUAAACGAUGAAUACUCGCUGUUUGCGAUAUACAGUAAGCGGCCAAGCGAAAGCAUUAAGUAUUCCACCUGGGGAGUACGCCGGCAACGGUGAAACUCAAAGGAAUUGACGGGGGCCCGCACAAGCGGAGGAACAUGUGGUUUAAUUCGAUGAUACGCGAGGAACCUUACCCGGGCUUAAAUUGCAGUGGAAUGAUGUGGAAACAUGUCAGUGAGCAAUCACCGCUGUGAAGGUGCUGCAUGGUUGUCGUCAGCUCGUGCCGUGAGGUGUCGGCUUAAGUGCCAUAACGAGCGCAACCCUUAUCUUUAGUUACUAACAGGUUAUGCUGAGGACUCUAGAGAGACUGCCGUCGUAAGAUGUGAGGAAGGUGGGGAUGACGUCAAAUCAGCACGGCCCUUACGUCCGGGGCUACACACGUGUUACAAUGGGGGGUACAGGAGGCAGCUAGCGGGUGACCGUAUGCUAAUCCCAAAAGCCUCUCUCAGUUCGGAUCGAAGUCUGCAACCCGACUUCGUGAAGCUGGAUUCGCUAGUAAUCGCGCAUCAGCCACGGCGCGGUGAAUACGUUCCCGGGCCUUGUACACACCGCCCGUCAAGCCAUGGGAGCCGGGGGUACCUGAAGUACGUAACCGCAAGGAUCGUCCUAGGGUAAAACUGGAAACUGGG